GGGGGUGUAUUUGGUUUCGACGGGGGAUAGUGGUAUCUGAGAAGCGAGUGGAGGGAACCCGUGGUCCCGCCUUAAAAAACUAUGGGAUUAAAUAUAAACGCUAAUAACGAUAAUUUAGCUUUAGCAGCUUAGUCUGCUAACGUCAGCCUAAGAGUACCGCGGCUUAGAGUCUGGCGUCGAUAGCGGUGAAACGAGCCUGUGUAAGCUUUGCCACAGGAACGGGAUAUAUGAAGCUACUGAAACCAAAAGCCUGUCCUUAGGCGUUUGGUAGAGGGAAUGUAAAAAUAAGGACUGCACUCGGAGAAGCUCGGAUACUACUUCUUUCGGACAGCGGUUCGACUCCGCUCACCUCCACCA
rnacentral:tmRNA from 1 species